rnacentral:rRNA from 1 species
AACGAACGCUGGCGGCAUGCCUAACACAUGCAAGUCGAACGAGACCUUCGGGUCUAGGGGCGCACGGGGACGUAACGCGGGGGGACCUGCCCUUAGGUUCGGAAUAACUCCCCGAAAGGGGUCCUAAUACCGGAUAAUGUAAUAGGACCAAAGAUUUCUCGCCUUUGGGUGGGCCCGCGUUGGAUUAGCUGGUUGGUAGGGUAAAAGCCUACCAAGGCGACGUUCCAUAGCUGGUGGGGGAGGAUGCUCAGCCACGCUGGGACUGCGACACGGGCUAGACUCCUACGGGAGGCAGCAGUAGGGAAUAUUGUACACUGGGCGAAAGCCUGAUCCAGCAAUGCCGGGUGAGUGAUGAAGGCCUUAGUGUUGUAAAUCUCUUUUACCCGGGAUGAUAAUGACAGUACCGGGAGAAUAAGCUCCGGCUAACUCCGUG